rnacentral:RNase_P_RNA from 1 species
UCAGUCGGCCGGACGGCCGCUCCGGCCAAUGUCGAAAAGGCGGUCGGGGAGGAAAGUCCGGGCUCCACGGAUGUACGGUGCCGGAUAACGUCCGGCGGGGCUGAUCCUCUCACGAGGUGAGGCUUUAGGGACAGUGCCACAGAGAGCAAACCGCCACCCCACCCUAUCCUUCCCCGCAUGCGGGGACGGAAAAAGGAGGGGCUGGCAAGGGUGAAAGGGUGCGGUAAGAGCGCACCGCGUCGGCGGCAACGUCGGCGGCACGGCAAACCCCACCGGGAGCAAGACCGAAUAGGGACGGCACGAAGUCACCGCGAAAGCGGGGAUCUCGGGAUCGGUGUCCGGAUCCAGCCGUCCGGGUAGGUUGCUAGAGGCGCCGGGCAACCGGCGUCCCAGAGGAAUGGCCGUCACGCGUGCGGCAAAAGCGCGUUCACGCGCGUCUUGGACGCACUAAGUCGCGCGCCCUACAGAACCCGGCUUAUAGGUCGGCUGAUGCA